GCCCCUAUGGUCAAGCGGUUAAGACGCCACCCUCUCACGGUGGAAUCAUGAGUUCGAGUCUCUUUAGGGGUACCA
rnacentral:tRNA from 1 species